rnacentral:lncRNA from 1 species
UCGAGGGUAGCUAGCCCUAUCACACGUGUCUUCGCGUCCUGCCCGAAAGUAAUUUUGGUAAGGCCCCGGACAAGGCACUGGCCUCGAGUGGACACCAAUGACUCUCACGACACUCCACCCAAGUGUCGGACUCUCACAGAUCAAGUCCGUAGAUUUACGGGUUUCCCCGUUAAGACAUGAUCAAACAUGUUAUAUUAUCUGAGCUGAGGCCCAAACAAUAUAAUGCAAUGACAUAAGUAUAUGCAACACAAC